rnacentral:lncRNA from 1 species
GCAGGCAGAGCUUUGGCUGCACACUGGUGGUUUGCUCCUCUUCCUACUUGCCAGAGCAGGUUGCUGGUCCCUGGAGCUGCAAAAGGCUGUGAUAUACAUGGAGGAGCCAGACACUCUUCUGCUGACAAGGCUGCACACCCUAAUGAUCCUACAGUGGAGGUUAGGAGGCAGAACAUCACUUUGGUUCGUAAAAUGCUUUUGUGAUACUUGGAAGCAAACUGUAUCCUUCAGUGGAGCAGCAAAGCAGCUCCAGCACCUGGCAGAGGCUGGGAAUUUCUUCCCACUUACCCCCUUGCCAGUGGUUUUGGAGCAGCAGCUUUAAGGUUAGAGUGGCUGAAGGGAAAGGUGCUUGUGCUGUCUCACCUAAAACUCAGCAGGGACCUUGAAUCUGGUAACAGAGCAGGGUGUAUCACAGUGUUCAUCACAUCAGUGCUUUCACCAUGCCAGUGUCGCUGAGUGACCUAGGAAUGAUCUGAAUCUACCCAGUGUUGCCCAUUAGAGCUGUUGCAGGUGGUUUUGGAGAGCUCCUGCUCUCCAGCUCUCACCUACGGUAUUGCUCAGCUUGGUCCAGCUUUGGCUUCUUGGUCUGGUGGGUUUUGUGUGUGGCUUUUUGGCUUCCAGUGGUGUUUCCCCUCUCCUUUUUGGUGUAGACAAUCUUCAACAGCCCCCAGUUCCCAGUGGUGCAGAUCACCAGGGAAUGAUCCUGGUGAAAGGGCAAAGUGAGAGGAAUGGCACAUGGUUUCCAGCGUGGCAGUGGAAGACUCAACAUCCCUGAGCACAUUUAUCAUGUUUAUUGUGUCUCUGAGUCUUAAAUCAGGGGAGUGCUGAUACAAGGAGUCUCAUUCUAAGAGCCAUAACCUCAGUGUUCUCCAGGGAAGAGUGAGGUGAGCACAAACCUCUGAUGCUAUUUUGGGAUCCCUCAAAGGGAGAAUAAGAGAAGAAAUCAAGGGGCAUAGGGCAGAGCCAGCAUUUAAAAUGUGCUUUAAAGUACUUCAAAGACCUGCAUGCCCCUUUGUGUUCAAAUAUACACCUUUAUUUUUCUACAUGUAACAAAAUCUGGUUCCAGGGAGGUGACUUAAAGCUCCCAAAGCUUCUCAAGGAAGUCUUUUUGGAUGCUUUCAAGUUGUACAAACAGCUCUAAUGUGUGCAAACUACACUUCCAACCCUUCCACUAAGGAUCACACAUGUCCUGGGUUUCCAUAGGGGUGUGUGUGUACUAGAAGUAUGUGUGUGUACUGUAAGUAUGUACUAUAAGAGUCAGGCUGGUGAGGUGUGAAGAUGAUAGAUACUAAUGGAUCUGGUUGUGUCUUACUUCAGCCCAUCUGGAUGGAUCUUGCUGUCUUACCAACUGCUCUGCUCUUACCUUCCUGCUCAAUCACACUUCUGGAACACAACUUGUUGUAGGUGUGUUGAUUUCAAAUGAAGUAUCUCAUCCCCCUUUUGGCUUUUUGUGAAGCAGCAGCAUCACUUCUUGAGAGAAAAGUGUUUAAAUGGUGUGAACCCAGAGCAGGAGCUGCAGGGAGCUGGGCUUUGUCCACACUCUUCACUCACAGCCUCAGGAAGCUGACUUAGGGCUUUAUUUACUGAGAGGUGAUGCUUUUAAGUGGCCUGACGCAAUAAAUAAAAGCUACAUAAAACUUCUAAAGGAGUUUGGUGUUGAAACAUCACAGAAAUACCACGUUUAGCUUUGAAUGUUGGGUUAUAACAUGGCUUAAUGAUGCUGCAAGGUCUUGAUGUCCUGAGUCUGCUCCUCCUUCCUGUAGAGCACCUUUACUACCUGAUUUAGCUGAGUGUGCACAGGAGAGGUGAGAGCCACCAGAGCCUGAAAGAGAGGGACCAGCACAGCACAUGGGGUCCCACCAGUGUGUGAGCAGGACUUUGAGCUCCACAGACACUUGGAAGUGUGUAUAAAAUGCUUCCACCUGGAACCAGAGCUGGGAAAGCCCUGAUUUUGCUGUGGGAGAUGGAUCCAAACUCCACAACUACUGGGGGGCUGUGUGAAAACCUCCUCCUGAAAUGGGCUGACCAAACUAGGCUGAGCUCUUUGAGAUCCUCCAGAUCCAGAACUGAAUGUACUUGCCUGUUGUCUCGAUGGAUUUGUAUGGUUUGGGGUCUCUUGGCUUGAUGUUCUUUGGAGGAUGGAGGCAAACCCUGGGAGUUAUAACUGUUUAAUUUAAUAAAAACUAAAUGAC